GACGAACGCUGGCGGCGUGCCUAAUACAUGCAAGUCGAACGCAGUGGGGACGGGUGAGUAACACGUGGGUAACCUCCCAUCAGAGGGGAUAACACUUGGAAACAGGUGCUAAACCGAUACUGAUGGAUGGACCCGCGGUGAAUUAGCUAGUUGGUGAGGUAACGGCUCACCAAGGCCACGAUGCAUAGCGGACCUGAUAGAGUGAUCGGCCAGCGAGGGACUGAGACACGGCCCAGACGCCUACGGGAGGCAGCAGUAGGGAGUCGUCGGCAAUGGAGGAGAGUCUGACCGAGCUACGGCGCGUGAGUGAAGAAGGUUUUCGGAUCGUAAUACUCUGUUGUUAGAGAAGCGGUAUCUAACCAGAAAGCCACGGCUAACUACGUGCCAGCAGCCGCGGUAAUAC
rnacentral:rRNA from 1 species